UACGAAGGGUGCAAGCGUUAAUCGGAAUUACUGGGCGUAAAGGGUGCGUAGGCGGUUCGUUAAGUCUGUCGUGAAAUCCCCGGGCUCAACCUGGGAAUGGCGAUGGAUACUGGCGAGCUAGAGUGUGUCAGAGGAUGGUGGAAUUCCCAGUGUAGAGGUGAAAUUCGUAGAUAUUGGGAAGAACACCGGUGGCGAAGGCGGCCAUCUGGCCCAUUUUUGACGCUGAGGCGCGAAAGCGUGGGGAGCAAACAGG
rnacentral:rRNA from 1 species